GACGAACGCUGGCGGCGUGCUUAACACAUGCCAGUCGAACGGAAAGGCCCUGCUUUUGUGGGGUGCUCGAGUGGCGAACGGGUGAGUAACACGUGAGUAACCUGCCCUUGACUUUGGGAUAACUUCAGGAAACUGGGGCUAAUACCGGAUAGGAGCUCCUGCUGCAUGGUGGGGGUUGGAAAGUUUCGGCGGUUGGGGAUGGACUCGCGGCUUAUCAGCUUGUUGGUGGGGUAGUGGCUUACCAAGGCUUUGACGGGUAGCCGGCCUGAGAGGGUGACCGGCCAGAUUGGGACUGAGAUACGGCCCAGACUCCUACGGGAGGCAGCAGUGGGGAAUAUUGCACAAUGGGCGGAAGCCUGAUGCAGCAACGCCGCGUGCGGGAUGACGGCCUUCGGGUUGUAAACCGCUUUCGCCUGUGACGAAGCGUGAGCGACGGUAAUGUGUAAAGAAGCACCGGCUAACUACGUG
rnacentral:rRNA from 1 species